UACGAAGGGGGGCUAGCGUUGCUCGGAAUCACUGGGCGUAAAGGGUGCGUAGGCGGGUCUUUUAAGUCAGGGGGUGAAAUCCUGGAGCUCAACUCCAGAACUGCCUUUGAUACUGAGGAUCUUGAGUUCGGGAGAGGUGAGUGGAACUGCGAGUGUAGAGGUGAAAUUCGUAGAUAUUCGCAAGAACACCAGUGGCGAAGGCGCUCACUGGCCCGAUACUGACGCUGAGGCACGAAAGCGUGGGGAGCAAACAGG
rnacentral:rRNA from 1 species